rnacentral:rRNA from 1 species
GAUUUGGUAGCACUUGCGAGGGUUGCCGAGUCAAGUUCUGCAUUUCUUUCUGAAACUAGGCAAGCAGAAAAAGUCCGCCGUCUUCGUGGUAGAUUAGGUUUGAAUGGUUUUGUUGGUGUGGACAGUGAUGGCCUCAGUGGAGGCUUGGGUUUGUUUUGGAAUGAUCAGCUACAUGUAGAAAUAAAAGAUGCAAAUGAAAGAUAUAUUGAUGCUUAUGUUCGUCUAUCUGACAAUGCACCUCUUUGGCGGCUUACGUGUGUCUAUGGGGAACCACGGUCUGAAAAUAGGCACCACAUGUGGUCACUCAUGCAAAAGCUUAAAACACAGUCAGAACUCCCUUGGUGUGUUCUUGGUGAUUUUAAUGAGGCCCUUUGGUCGUUUGAGCACUUCUCGGCCUCUCAGAGGAGUGAAAGUCAGAUGCUAGCCUUCCGUGAUACUCUGGAAUUAUGUGAACUUAUUGAUCUUGGGUUCUCAGGUCUACCUUUCACUUGUGAUAAUAAACGCAGAGGAAGAAGAGAUGUAAAAGUACGGUUGGACAGGGCAGCUGCAGAUAACAAAUGGAGAGACAUCUUCUCUGAAUCUAGGGUGGUCCACCAAGUAUCCCCAUGUUCUGAUCACUCACCUAUAGUGUUGCAUUGUGAGGCAGAAGUGGUGCAGCAAAGAAAGAAAAGCCAGCGUCGUUAUGAAGUUAUGUGGGAACGAGAUCCUAGCCUGGCUGAGCGUAUCUAG